UACGUAGGGUGCAAGCGUUGUCCGGAAUUAUUGGGCGUAAAGAGCUCGUAGGCGGUCUGUCGCGUCUGCUGUGAAAACUCGGGGCUUAACCCCGGGCCUGCAGUGGGUACGGGCAGACUAGAGUGCGGUAGGGGAGACUGGAAUUCCUGGUGUAGCGGUGAAAUGCGCAGAUAUCAGGAGGAACCCCGGUGGCGAAGGCGUUUCUCUGGGCCGUAACUGACGCUGAGGAGCGAAAGCAUGGGGAGCGAACGGG
rnacentral:rRNA from 1 species